GAUGAACGCUGGCGGCGUGCCUAACACAUGCAAGUCGAGCGAACGGACGAGAAGUUCGCCUCUCUGAUGUUAGCGGCGGAUGGGUGAGUAAUACGUGGAUAACCUAUCUAUAAGACUGGGAUAACUUCGGGAAACCGGAGCCAACAUCGGACGAUAUUUUGAACCGCAGGGUUCAACAGAGAAAGACGGUCCUGCUGUCACUAAUAGAUGUAACCUCGCUGCAUUAGCUAGUUGGUAAGGUAACGGCUUACCAAGGCGACGAUGCAUAGCCGACCUGAGAGGGUGAUCAGCCACACUGGAACUGAGACACGGUCCAGACUCCUACGGGAGGCAGCAGUAGGGAAUCUUCGACAAUGGGCGAAAGCCUGACGGAGCAACGCCGCGUGAGUGAUGAAGGUCUUCGGAUCGUAAAGCUCUGUUAGUAGGGAAGAACAUAUGUAUAAGUAACUGUGCACGUCUUGACGGUACCUAAUCAAAAAGCCACGGCUAACUACGUG
rnacentral:rRNA from 1 species